rnacentral:rRNA from 1 species
CGGGUGAGUAAUGGAUAAGUAACCUGCCCUUAAGUGGGGGAUAACACUUCGAAAGAAGUGCUAAUACCGCAUGUGGUGCUCUUUCACAAGAAGGAUCACUAAAACCGCAAGGUGCUUGAGGAGGGGCUUGUCUCCGAUUAGCUAGUUGGUGGGGUAACGGCCUACCAAGGCGAUGAUCGGUAGCUGGUCUGAGAGGAUGGUCAGCCACACUGGGACUGAGACACGGCCCAGACUCCUACGGGAGGCAGCAGCAAGGAAUCUUGGGCAAUGGGCGAAAGCCUGACCCAGCGACGCCGCGUGAGGGAUGACGGCCUUCGGGUUGUAAACCUCUUUUCUCAGGGAAGAAUAAUGACGGUACCUGAGGAAUAAGUCUCGGCUAACUACGUGCCAGCAGCCGCGGUAAUACGUAGGAGGCGAGCGUUAUCCGGAUUUAUUGGGCGUAAAGUGGGCGUAGGUGGUCUUUCAAGUCGGAUGUGAAAUCUCCCGGCUCAACUGGGAGGGGUCAUCCGAUACUGUUGGACUUGAGUACAGCAGGGGAAAAUGGAAUUCCCGGUGUAGUGGUGAAAUGCGUAGAUAUCGGGAGGAACACCAGAGGCGAAGGCGAUUUUCCAGGCUGAAGCUGACACUGAGGCCCGAAAGCGUGGGGAGCGAACAGGAUUAGAUACCCUGGUAGUCCACGCCUUAAACUAUGGGUACUAGGUAUAGGG